CAUUGUGGGUUGCUGGGUGGCCCGGUCUCGUAGAAGAGGGGAGAGUGGCGGGCCGCUGAAUAAGCUUCCAAAAUGAUGCCCACACCAGUUAUCCUAUUGAAAGAGGGGACUGAUAGCUCCCAAGGCAUCCCCCAGCUUGUGAGUAACAUCAGUGCCUGCCAGGUGAUUGCUGAGGCUGUAAGAACUACCCUGGGUCCCCGUGGCAUGGACAAGCUUAUUGUAGAUGGCAGAGGUAAGUCUACAGAGUUCCUCAGGCCUAUGUGCAGGAGAGGAGGCUCCUGAGGGGGUGUUUGGGACUAGCAUAGGUUGGUAUCAGAAAUCCCACUGCUUUUAAGAUCGUUGAAAGAUGACUCACUCUCAAGCAGUUCCAAUUCUUAUAUUAUCCUGACUGCUGAGCCCGUGUGGGAAUAUAUGAGAGAACCUAGGCUCAGGAUCCUGUUGCCUCAUAGGGAGACAUGGCCUAGAAACAUGAAAUAGAACCAUCUGGAGUUUCCUGUGGUCACUUCCAUUGUUAUCAAGAUGAGAAAAUUCCUGUUUAUAUCUUGGUAUAUUAAUUGACGUGUGAGGGUAUCAACUAUGGUAA
rnacentral:sRNA from 1 species